GUGCUCACUUCGGCAGCACAUAUACUAAAACUGGAACAAUACAAAGAAGAUUAGCAUGGCCCCUGCUCAAGGAUGACAUGCAAAUUUGUGAAGCAUUCCAUAUUUUU
rnacentral:snRNA from 1 species